UGGGGAAUUUUGACAAUGGGCGAAAGCCUGAUCCAGCAAUGCCGCGUGUGUGAAGAAGGCCUUCGGGUUGUAAAGCACUUUUGUCCGGAAAGAAAUCCUUGGCUCUAAUACAGUCGGGGGAUGACGGUACCGGAAGAAUAAGCACCGGCUAACUACGUGCCAGCAGCCGCGGUAAUACGUAGGGUGCAAGCGUUAAUCGGAAUUACUGGGCGUAAAGCGUGCGCAGGCGGUUUGCUAAGACCGAUGUGAAAUCCCGGGCUCAACCUGGGAACUGCAUUGGUGACUGGCAGGCUAGAGUAUGGCAGAGGGGGGUUAGAAUUCCACGUGUAGCAGUGAAAUGCGUAGAGAUGUGGAGGAAUA
rnacentral:rRNA from 1 species